CAGCCGCCGCUGUAAUACGUAGGGGGCGAGCGUUACCCGGAUUCACUGGGCGUAAAGGGGGUGUAGGCGGCUCGGUAAGUCGGGUGUGAAAUCCCACGGCUCAACCGUGGAAUUGCGCCCGAAACUGCCGAGCUUGGGGCCGGUAGAGGGAGACGGAACUGCCGGUGUAGGGGUGAAAUCCGUAGAUAUCGGCAGGAACGCCGGUGGGGAAGCCGGUCUCCUGGGCCGCGCCCGACGCUGAGGCCCGAAAGCUAGGGGAGCAAACCGGAUUAGAUACCCGGGUAGUCCUAGCCGUAAACGAUGCCCACUAGGUGUGGGGGAGUAUUUCCUCCGUGCUGUAGCUAACGCGUUAAGUGGGCCGCCUGGGGAGUACGCCCGCAAGGGUGAAACUUAAAGGAAUUGGCGGG
rnacentral:rRNA from 1 species